GCACUGCUGACGUGUCCCAAACAGGACGAAAUAGCUGUCCAGUGC
rnacentral:hammerhead_ribozyme from 1 species